rnacentral:lncRNA from 1 species
GCUUCUUUUUAUGUCCUGUGUUGGUUGUUGUGGCGGUCAGUGAAAGGUUUUUUAUUAUUUUGUAUUAUUUUGUAGCUGGGCAUUCAGAGCUCAGCAUCACAAAGACAAAUGUGGAGUGACAAUGUGAAUUACAGACCAGAGACAUCUUCAUCAGCACCGUGUGUGCGCGCGUGUACCCGUCCCUGCAGCAGUAUAAUACAAUGAGCCAGAUUUGCCAUCCUAUCAAAGAAUUCUGACACCAAAAUUGAAAGCAUCAGGGAGGCCUGUUUUUUUGUUGGUGACGUGGGGUCCGGGUGCCGUCGUCAAUGGAACCGGGGGGUGCCUCAGCUAGCUCGUCGGGCUUCCAUGCCCUAGCUGGCUCUAGAAGUUUUUCAUGCCCCAGUGGGCUCGGCAGGCGCCCCGCCCCAGAUCAUGCUUCGGCCGGCCAUCGGGCUCCCAUGCUUCCGCCGGUUCGUCAGCCUCGCACGUCUCAGCGGGAUCAUCAGGCUUUCACGCC